rnacentral:lncRNA from 1 species
AUAAGUUAUUCACAGGAAUGGCGCUGCUUGCUGAAUGCACCUAACAGAUGACUUGAAAAUUACAGAGGUGGGUGCCUGCAUCCUAAUCUUUUUAUACCAUAACCUGUUCUAGAUAAUGAGCUUUAAACACAUGAUGACAAAAUUGUAGAAGAAAACCUGAUUACCUGUAAUCUUGUGGGUUUAUUCUCCCUUUGUGCAUGUGUUUAAGCAGUGAGUUGUUUUUUUAAAAAAUCAUUCACAGUAGUUAUGUGGAAGACCUGAGGGAGAAUUAUGGUCUUAGCUCUGAGCACAGUAAAUUUGUAUAUUGAGUUAAUUGGCAGUCAGUGGUUAUGGUAUAUAAAGAGAUUAUAGAGCCACAAUGCUGCCUUCUAUAUUGUCAUCACAUCUUAGUUCCUUUUCCCAUUGCUUUGCAGAAGUUCCUAGCCACCAGACUUGCUCCCCUGCUUCUUCCCUUUAGAGCCAUGAAGACUGUGAAACUACUUCGCCAAUCCAGCACAGUUUCGGUGGAAACAUAGGUGGUUCUUUGUAGAAAACGCCUAUUGGAUCAACUCACAGCAGAUGCUUUAGACUAGACUCUGAUCAUCUUUGCUGCUCGCUACCUGGACAACCCAUGCAGCUGCUUUCUUGCAAAGUCUGCCUAGGUGUCCCAGAACACACACACAAAAAUUCAGCACUGAACCAGAAGCACCAGAAAUCCGCACCUGGAUGAUCCCUAAGGAACUGGACACAACUUCAGUUUCCAGGAUCACCUUUUUACAAGAUCAUAUAGAAUUUGGUAUUUAAAAUAUAGAUGGGAUUGACACAGGACAAAAUGCUAUGUAAUAUACACUUCAUAUAUGUGGGUAAUUUAAAGGCUAACUGAUGUAUAAUGGAGCUACACCGUUCCCCCCAAGAGAGAACAAAACCUUGCAACACUGUUUUCAAGUGUGUGUUACAUUCUCCAAACUAGGGAACAGGAAGUGGAAUUACAAGAGGAGGGGUUUCUAAUACAGUAGCUGUGUAGACAGUAGAUUUGAGCUGGAGUUAUUCCAAUCCACUUUAACCCCUGGACAUAAUGUUUACUUGCUAAACAGUGGAACGCCAGCUGUUAUAACACACAUCGCUCUUUUCCAGCACACCAAGUAAGAAGGUGUGUUUAUACAAGCCUGAAUGGUUACUUGCAGACAAAUAGCAUCCAUGCAAUGAUGCUAGUAUGCUAGUAGUAGACAGUCAAGUGAAGCAGAAGUUCAAUCACGGUCCAUGGUGUCCAGCAUUAAACCUGGCAAAUAUUUAAUGCCAAAGCGUCAUGUUGAUCCAGAUUUUUAAGAUGGCACCAUGAUACCAGCAUGGAAGUACAGAUAGGUGGCUGAGAAACUCUUUUGCCUAACGAUGUAGCAAUUUGUUUUCUUAUAAAUAAAUGUUCAAGAGAAAUCAGGGGAGGUGUUUUUUCAUGUGCCUCAUCUGCUUUGCUUGAAAGCAAUAUCUCUAGGCAGCCUCCUUAAGGGAAAUGGUCAGUCUGCUGCUGUUCUAGUCAUUUGCCAUUCAAGCUGCAUAGGACUGAGCAAAAUCAAAUUCAGAUGGCAUUCUGAGGUGGAAUAAGUCCACCUGAGUGGAACAGUUGGUGCCUUUAGAUUAUUGGCUUUUCUGAAGGCUACGGCUGCAGUGGGGCCACCUGAGGAGAUAAAAUUAUUCCUGGUGAAUCCUUUUGAUUAUUAGCUAUUCUGCAUAACACUGACCACACAAAGAGUGCGUUUUAGGGUGGAUGGAGGACUUAGUAAAAAUGCACUUUUUUAAACCACUAGUGAGGGUGACUCAGGCUCAAACCUCUGCUUUUUUGCUUUUUUUUUUUUUUUUUUUUAGUUACAAGAAAUCAACAGGCC